rnacentral:rRNA from 1 species
AUUGAACGCUGGCGGCAGGCCUAACACAUGCAAGUCGAACGAGUGGCGGACGGGUGAGUAAUGUCUGGGAAACUGCCUGAUGGAGGGGGAUAACUACUGGAAACGGUAGCUAAUACCGCACACCAUCCGUUGUGCCCAGAUGGGAUUGGCUAGUAGGUGGGGCAAAGGCUCACCAAGGCGACGAUCCCUAGCUGGUCUGAGAGGAGGACCAGCCACACUGGAACUGAGACACGGUCCAGACUCCUACGGGAGGCAGCAGUGGGGAAUAUUGCACAAUGGGCGAAAGCCUGAUGCAGCCAUGCCGCGUGUAUGAAGAAGGCCUUCGGGUUGUAAAGUACUUUCAGCAGGGAGGCGUUACCCACAUAGGAAGCACCGGCUAACUCCGUGCCAGCAGCCGCGGUAAUUC